rnacentral:rRNA from 1 species
AGAGGUAAACGGGUGGAGUUGAACUGCAUGCUCCGUGAAUUCAGCUGGUGAGAUUGUUUUGGGGCUUGGUVAAGUGGGGUAGACACUGAGGUAUGCUUAGCUGCAUGUCCCGGCCUGUAGGUUGGGAUGCGCGGUACGCUCAUCAUGCGUUGCGCGCCUCUGUUGUUUAUCUGCCCUCUCGCCAGUGCAUUUUCGCGGAGUGAUCACCAAGACCGGCGUUGCUGUCCGGCUGCUUCAGUUAAACCGGUCUUACGCGUCCCUGUGGCGUUGUUUGGUCGGGACGGCAGGUAGCCUGUUGGCUUGCUUUGNUUGCUUUCGGGUAUAAUCAGCUGACUAAAGCGGGACUGUGCAGUGCGUCGGAGCUGGCGGCCAGUUGUGUAUGCUCGUGUGUCAUGCCUUCCGAUGGAUUCUGUUCUGAUUGCCAUGUUGCCUGUCUCGGCAGGUCUGGCGGUGGACGGGGUUCUAUUGGUUGGUGGUUCCGCGGGUCGCACUUUAAAGGGCCAAUAGUCUUUGGUGUCGUGGUAGACCAUCCACCUGACCCGUCUUGAAACACGGACCAAGGAGAGUAACAUGUGCGCGAGUCAUUGGGUGUAACGAAACCCAAAGGCGCAGUGAAAGUAAAGGUCUGACUUGUUCAGUCUGAGGUGAGAUCCUGUUGUUUCUCAUGCGUGGUAUCACCAAGCUUGGAGCGACAGGCGCAUCACCGGCCCGUCCCAUGAUGUAGACACGGUCAUUGUACUCGUGCACCGUCGGGGCGGAGCAUGAGCGCACACGUUGAGACCCGAAAGAUGGUGAACUAUGCUUGCGCAGGUUGAAGCCAGAGGAAACUCUGGUGGAGGACCGCAGCGAUUCUG